rnacentral:rRNA from 1 species
UACGUAGGUCACGAGCGUUAUCCGGAAUUAUUGGGCGUAAAGAGUGAGCAGGCGGCAUAGCAAGUCUGAGGUGAAAGCGUGGGGCUCAACCCCAUACAGCCUUGGAAACUACUAAGCUAGAGUGCGUGAGAGGUAAACGGAACUCCAUGUGUAGCGGUGAAAUGCGUAGAUAUAUGGAAGAACACCAGUGGCGAAGGCGGUUUACCAGCACUGCACUGACGCUCAGUCACGAAAGCGUGGGGAGC